GAUGAACGCUGGCGGCGUGCCUAAUACAUGCAAGUCGAACGGACAGACGAGGAGCUUGCUCCUCUGACGUUAGCGGCAGACGUGUGUGACACACGUGGAUCCCCUACCUAUAAGUCUGGGAUCAUUUCGAGAAACCGGCUAAUAUACCGGAGAAUAUCUUGCAGCGCAGUGGUCGUUGGAGAGAGACGGCAUUUCUGGAAGUUAUAGCUGGAUACGCGCCGCAUGGUCGAGUUGUUCAGGUAAAGGCUUACCACGGCGACGAUGCGUGGCCGAACGGAGAGGGUGACAGGCCACACGGGAGCGUAGACACGGUCCAGACUCCUACGGGAGGCAGCAGUAGGGAAUCUGCCGCAAUGGUGGGAAGCCUGGCGCAGCAACGCCGCGUGAGUGACGAAGGUCCUCGGAUCGUAAAGCCCUGUUAUUGGUGAAGAACAAAUGUGUAAUUAACUAUGGACGUCUUGACGGUACCGAAUCAGAAAGCCCCGGCUAACUACGUG
rnacentral:rRNA from 1 species